CUAUACAUGCAAGUCGAACGCGCAGCGAAAGGUGCUUGCACCUUUCAAGCGAGUGGCGAACGGGUGAGUAACACGUGGAUAACCUGCCUCAAGGCUGGGGAUAACAUUUGGAAACAGAUGCUAAUACCGAAUAAAACUUAGUAUCGCAUGAUACAAAGUUGAAAGGCGCUACGGCGUCACCUAGAGAUGGGUCCGCGGUGCAUUAGUUAGUUGGUGGGGUAAAGGCCUACCAAGACAAUGAUGCAUAGCCGAGUUGAGAGACUGAUCGGCCACAUUGGGACUGAGACACGGCCCAAACUCCUACGGGAGGCUGCAGUAGGGAAUCUUCCACAAUGGGCGAAAGCCUGAUGGAGCAACGCCGCGUGUGUGAUGAAGGCUUUAGGGUCGUAAAGCACUGUUGUAUGGGAAGAAAUGCUAGAAUAGGGAAUGAUUCUAGUUCGACGGUACCAUACCAGAAAGGGACGGCUAAAUAC
rnacentral:rRNA from 1 species